AGAGUUUGAUUCUGGCUCAGGAUGAACGCUAGCGGCAGGCUUAACACAUGCAAGUCGAGGGGCAGCGGGAUGUAGCAAUACAUUGCCGGCGACCGGCGGAUGGGUGCGUAACGCGUAUGCAACCUACCUUAUACAGGGGAAUAACCUUUCGAAAGGGAGACUAACACCCCAUAGUAUUGAUUUAAGGCAUCUUAGAUUAAUUAAAUAUUUAUAGGUAUAAGAUGGGCAUGCGUAUGAUUAGCUAGUUGGUAAGGUAACGGCUUACCAAGGCGACGAUCAUUAGGGGUUCUGAGAGGAAGGUCCCCCACACUGGUACUGAGACACGGACCAGACUCCUACGGGAGGCAGCAGUGAGGAAUAUUGGUCAAUGGGCGCAAGCCUGAACCAGCCAUGCCGCGUGCAGGAAGACGGCCUUAUGGGUUGUAAACUGCUUUUACAUAAGACUAACCGUAUAUUUGCGAAUAUACCUGAAUGUAUUAUGAGAAUAAGGAUCGGCUAACUCCGUGCCAGCCGCGGC
rnacentral:rRNA from 1 species